rnacentral:rRNA from 1 species
AUUGAACGCUGGCGGAAUGCUUUACACAUGCAAGUCGAACGGCAGCACGGACUUCGGUCUGGCGGCGAGUGGCGAACGGGUGAGUAAUGUAUCGGAACGUGCCCAGUCGUGGGGGAUAACGUAGUGAAAAUUACGCUAAUAACGCAUACGAUCUAUGGAUGAAAGCGGGGGAUCGCAAGACCUCGCGCGAUUGGAGCGGCCGAUAUCAGAUUAGGUAGUUGGUGGGGGAAAGGCCCACCAAGCCAACGAUCUGUAGCUGGUCUGAGAGGACGACCAGCCACACUGGAACUGAGACACGGUCCAGACUCCUACGGGAGGCAGCAGUGGGGAAUUUUGGACAAUGGGCGAAAGCCUGAUCCAGCCAUUCCGCGUGCAGGAUGAAGGCCCUCGGGUUGUAAACUGCUUUUGUACAGAACGAAAAGGUUUCUACUAAUACUAGGAGCUCAUGACGGUACUGUAAGAAUAAGCACCGGCUAACUACGUGCCAGCCGCCGCGGUAA